UACGUAGGGUGCAAGCGUUGUCCGGAAUUAUUGGGCGUAAAGAGCUCGUAGGCGGUCUGUCGCGUCGGCUGUGAAAACCCGGGGCUCAACCCCGGGCCUGCAGUCGAUACGGGCAGACUAGAGUGUGGUAGGGGAGACUGGAAUUCCUGGUGUAGCGGUGAAAUGCGCAGAUAUCAGGAGGAACACCGGUGGCGAAGGCGGGUCUCUGGGCCAUAACUGACGCUGAGAAGCGAAAGCAUGGGGAGCGAACAGG
rnacentral:rRNA from 1 species